AUCCCACCCAGAGACAAACAGAAACACGAUCCGUCUUCAGCGGAGGAAUCCAUCGAUUCCCGCCCCGUGUUUGUUUUUACUCAGACUUCUCCAUUGAUCAGAGGGUCAAGCGGUUAUCCGGCUGAGUUCUCUGUAUCAACUCACUGAUUGCAUCCUCAGAACGGCUUCUCCAUUCAGAGCAUGUUCGGGGUACUUACUGUCUAAUAAUGUGGGAAGCCAAGUAGGAUCCUUUUGUAAUUCCACACUGCUCGUCCUGGAUUGGCAGGAUGCCGAAAUCAAGGUUCUGAUACGCGGUGGUAGAAAUGAGUCAUAGGAGCAGGACUAAGACGGACCAUGAGGAGCCCUCCUCGAUCGGUUGGGCCUCGGGCUGCCUUGCCCAGAAGGUCUACCUGACGGGGCCAUCGUGAGAAGCCUGGAAUUCCCGCUCUGCCAGAAAGCUGCAGAAAGCUGUGGGCUCAUGAGCGGAACCCCCUGAUCUGGGCCGGCACUUGGCCAGAGGCUCCGGGAGGCCCUUCAGAGUGUGUCUGUCAGGCUGGCAUGAAGGCAACUGCGGAGCGAGCUGGUUGUUCGUGGGAAAUGUGGGAGCACAGAUGAUCAGGAGCAAAACAUCUCUCCUGUGCAUGUGCGGGAGGAUCUGAUCUCCGUGGAUGGCUGAAAUCAACAGGGACUGGAGGCGUGGCCGAACAGCCCUGGCGUCUACUUGAGCACGACAGGCACAUGCUGCAAACGUUACGCUUACCGUUCAUGUGGGUAACGUGCCUCUUAUCACAAGGAGGGCUGCCGCCCAAGGCGUAAGCAGAGGAAGCGGCUGCUUAGGGCCCAGCGGCCACUAGGGGGCCCCCCCAUAUAAUCAGCCUGUCAGAAUGGGAACGAAGAUGAUAAAUGACAACUAGGUUAAUCAAAUUUUGCUUUGGGCCUCAGAUAAGCUUAGGUCAGCUUUGAGCACAACUAUCUCAAGUGGAGUUAACGCAGGUCUGAAGGAAAAUCACAGACGGUGAAAUGGGGAGCUGAUUUACCUCAGGUAUCCUGUUCGCGUGGUAUAUGGCAUGUUUCGCUUCAUCAAGCAGUUGCAAAUUUUAUUUUGUCACCUGCACAAAUAUACAGUGUACAUCUGUGCUGUGAAAUCCCUUUUCCGCAUUUUUCAGUUUUGUCUCCCUGGUCCAUGUAAAUCAUUACAGAUUACCUGGUCAGCUAAGUGAAAAAAAAGUAAAUGUUUACAGGCGUGAAGCUUUUUAUCUAAUUAUGAUAAUCAAGUCCUUCUCCCCGCAGUUAAUUUAAAUGUGAAAUUGAUGCAGUUUCCCCGCUGCAGGAGCUCUGGUCCUCGCUGGCACGCUCUCAAGCCAAAAGCUUGUCAGUUUGAAAAUGCCAGUUCAUAGAGGAGCACGACUGACUUGCAGCAACGUGCCUCCAUCUGUCCGGCGGCUCUGUGUGAAUUUGUGAAUGAUUUUUGCCGUGGUGUGCGAGCCUGUCUUUGCACCCUUGAUAAGCAUUUGCUGUGAUGUAAUCCAAUAUUUCAGUCCAGUAUUAUUUCAGGCACCGGAUCACUAUUUGGCAUAUAAUUUGCCUGGCGAGCAAACAUUUUGAGUGAAUGAGGGGCACGUGUACUGGGAGCAAGUGGGCCACCAGAGUCCCGAUCCCAGUAACACACGUCUCCGGCUUCAGGGAAGCGCUUCCCAUUUUCCUGGCUUCCACAGCAUCUGUGAACAAAUUAUUUCUACAAGCUGGGCGUGCCAGACAUCUGUGGAGCAGCUGCCCCUAGUGGACAGGAGGGGCAUAACUGAACGCAGAAGCGGAGAGUUCUAAACAGAUAGAUAUGGCUACACAGACAGUAUGAAUGCAGUGAUAUGCCUUUAGUUACACAUGCACACACGAAUACGACAAGACACCCUGAAGGGUGACACAGCUAGAUGUAGGCAGACAUGUAUAUACAGAGAGGAAAUUCUACAACAGAACCCUACACUCCCCCACCAAGCUUAACACUCUCACCAGUCUGGUUCUACAACAGGGGUCACUGUUCAGCCAAAGCGAAUCCGUCAAGGCCCCAAAGCGAAAGACACAGUUAUGCAUUUUCCGAAUCUUGGCUAAGAAAAUAUUUAUCGAGCGAGUUGCCGCCCUGUAGCGCAGGCAGCGAGAGAGGAAAUCCAGGUAUCUGAUGGGAGCUAGAAGCCCGGCGAUGGCGCGGAAUGACCCGGUCUCGCCAGGCGUCGAAACGAGAAACGGAGACAGAGACGCGGCUGACCUAACACGGAGGAUUUCUGGAAUCGGGCACGAAUGGGAGAGCGAGGAUGAUAACCUGACUGACCUCAAGUGAGGAAUCCAUUCUUCCCGUGAGGAGGAACCUUAUUAGAAUAAGAGACACACAAUGUUCCAAAAAUUACACAUACUAUGCAUACUAGUAUAUCGACAAUUAUGGAAAAUAAUGGGGGCAUAUGCUUUAUUGGGGCAAUAAAGGUACAGUCAAUUACACAAUUCAUGAAAGCAGAAAAUACUCUAUUCAUCUGCUUUAUUUAAUUAGACACUGGAAGCUUUUUGUAAUGACAAAAGCAAAGCAGUCUUUGUCUUUGAUGGUGGGUUCAAAGUACACGGAUGAUAUGUAGCCACCAAGUUCUCUUCAGGGAAGGAAGUAGGACCACUUUGUUCGACCCAGGUUCAAUUGGAGAUCUUGGUAGUCAAUGCAUCGUUACUCAAUAAAGCACAUCCAGAGAGCUGUGCUGCAUUGUGGGUAAAUGCCGCUCACCAGCUGGACUGGCUCAUGACCCAAGGCGAUUGCCAUGUGACUUUUCAGUAGCAUUGUAGAAUAAGCCUUGUUCCAAAUACACAGAGCUUCAUAAUGAUUACUAACUUUGACGGACUGAUCAGGUCAACUAUGUAAUAUGGCUACUUUAUUCAGUGUUUAUUAUAAUCACAUGCAGGUCUCUGAGAGGUUUAUUUUGCUGUCUAUAUAAUAGACUCAGACAUGUUAAUCAAGUGUUAAGGGAUCCGUUCUUGUGGGAUUGUCUGUCAGAAUCUUUGGAUAGUGGAGUUAGUCUGGAACGUCGUGAACGACUUGAUGGAUUAUGGGAAAACACAAGAAUCCCUGUGUGCCUUUUACAACUGGCAAAUGAAGUGUAAGUUAGAAGGCGGGGGGGAGGGGGGAUAAGCCUUAAUUAUGCAACAUCUGCCAUUCCUGAUAGCACACCGGAAUUUUGUCUAAGUCCAGCCAGAUUAUGACAGAACUCCAGUUGUGCGGCGGACGGACAUGUUGCAAGACAUGGGGGUCGUUUGAGGCAAAAGUGGUGAAACUGUGUCAUUUGCGAAGAAAAUAAGGCCGUGAGAUUGUGGCUGAGGAACCCUGGGGAACGGAGAAAGUGCGAUCAGAGGCAUCCUGCUUCAGAUGCUGAUGAUGGAGGCAGCGUUUAAUCGUGGGGGGUGGGUUUGGAGCCGAGGCGCCUGCUGUCCUUUGAUUGGGCAUUAAAAGUA